UCAUCUUCGGGGGUAGAGCACUGUUUCGGCUAGGGGGUCAUCCCGACUUACCAACCCGAUGCAAACUACGAAUACCGAAGAAUGUUAUCACGGGAGACACACGGCGGGUGCUAACGUCCGUCGUGAAGAGGGAAACAACCCAGACCGCCAGCUAAGGUCCCAAAGUCAUGGUUAAGUGGGAAACGAUGUGGGAAGGCACAGACAGCCAGGAUGUUGGCUUAGAAGCAGCCAUCAUUUAAAGAAAGCGUAAUAGCUCACUGGUCGAGUCGGCCUGCGCGGAAGAUGUAACGGGGCUAAACCAUGCACCGAAGCUGCGGCAGCGACACUAUGUGUUGUUGGGUAGGGGAGCGUUCUGUAAGCCUGCGAAGGUGUGCUGUGAGGCAUGCUGGAGGUAUCAGAAGUGCGAAUGCUGACAUAAGUAACGAUAAAGCGGGUGAAAAGCCCGCUCGCCGGAAGACCAAGGGUUCCUGUCCAACGUUAAUCGGGGCAGGGUGAGUCGACCCCUAAGGCGAGGCCGAAAGGCGUAGUCGAUGGGAAACAGGUUAAUAUUCCUGUACUUGGUGUUACUGCGAAGGGGGGACGGAGAAGGCUAUGUUAGCCGGGCGACGGUUGUCCCGGUUUAAGCAUGUAGGCUGGUUAUCCAGGCAAAUCCGGAUAAUCAAGGCUGAGGUGUGAUGACGAGGCACUACGGUGCUGAAGUAACAAAUGCCCUGCUUCCAGGAAAAGCCUCUAAGCAUCAGGUAACAUCAAAUCGUACCCCAAACCGACACAGGUGGUCAGGUAGAGAAUACCAAGGCGCUUGAGAGAACUCGGGUGAAGGAACUAGGCAAAAUGGUGCCGUAACUUCGGGAGAAGGCACGCUGGUGUGUAGGUGAAGCCCCUGCGGGUGGAGCUGAGACCAGUCGAAGAUACCAGCUGGCUGCAACUGUUUAUUAAAAACACAGCACUGUGCAAACACGAAAGUGGACGUAUACGGUGUGACGCCUGCCCGGUGCCGGAAGGUUAAUUGAUGGGGUUAUCCGUAAGGAGAAGCUCUUGAUCGAAGCCCCGGUAAACGGCGGCCGUAACUAUAACGGUCCUAAGGUAGCGAAAUUCCUUGUCGGGUAAGUUCCGACCUGCACGAAUGGCGUAAUGAUGGCCAGGCUGUCUCCACCCGAGACUCAGUGAAAUUGAACUCGCUGUGAAGAUGCAGUGUACCCGCGGCAAGACGGAAAGACCCCGUGAACCUUUACUAUAGCUUGACACUGAACAUUGAGCCUUGAUGUGUAGGAUAGGUGGGAGGCUUUGAAGCGUGGACGCCAGUCUGCGUGGAGCCAACCUUGAAAUACCACCCUUUAAUGUUUGAUGUUCUAACGUUGGCCCCUGACCGGGGUUGCGGACAGUGUCUGGUGGGUAGUUUGACUGGGGCGGUCUCCUCCCAAAGCGUAACGGAGGAGCACGAAGGUUAGCUAAUCCUGGUCGGACAUCAGGAGGUUAGUGCAAUGGCAUAAGCUAGCUUGACUGCGAGCGUGACGGCGCGAGCAGGUGCGAAAGCAGGUCAUAGUGAUCCGGUGGUUCUGAAUGGAAGGGCCAUCGCUCAACGGAUAAAAGGUACUCCGGGGAUAACAGGCUGAUACCGCCCAAGAGUUCAUAUCGACGGCGGUGUUUGGCACCUCGAUGUCGGCUCAUCACAUCCUGGGGCUGAAGUAGGUCCCAAGGGUAUGGCUGUUCGCCAUUUAAAGUGGUACGCGAGCUGGGUUUAGAACGUCGUGAGACAGUUCGGUCCCUAUCUGCCGUGGGCGCUGGAGAAUUGAGGGGGGCUGCUCCUAGUACGAGAGGACCGGAGUGGACGCAUCACUGGUGUUCGGGUUGUCAUGCCAAUGGCACUGCCCGGUAGCUAAAUGCGGAAGAGAUAAGUGCUGAAAGCAUCUAAGCACGAAACUUGCCCCGAGAUGAGUUCUCCCUGAGACUUUAAGUCUCCUGAAGGAACGUUAAAGACGAUGACGUUGAUAGGCCGGGUGUGUAAGCGCAGCGAUGCGUUGAGCUAACCGGUACUAAUGAACCGUGAGGCUUAACCUU
rnacentral:rRNA from 1 species